rnacentral:rRNA from 1 species
GGGCCCGCACAAGCGGUGGAGCAUGUGGCUUAAUUCGAGGCAACGCGAAGAACCUUACCUGGUCUUGACAUGCCCGUCAUAGUUUUCCGAAAGGAAUUCGUCAGUUCGGCUGGACGGUGCACAGGUGCUGCAUGGCUGUCGUCAGCUCGUGUCGUGAGAUGUUCGUUAAGUCCGGCAACGAGCGCAACCCUCGUUCCUAGUUGCCAGCGGGUAAUGCCGGGGACUCUAGGAAGACAAACCUCGUGUAGAGGUGGGAAGGUGGGGACGACGUCAAGUCAGUAUGGCCCUUACGACCAGGGCUGCACACGUGCUACAAUGCUUGGUACAAUGGGAUGCAACACCGCGAGGUUGAG